GUCAGGAUGGCUGAGCGGUCUAAGGCGCCAGGCUCAAGUUCUGGUCUCCGAACGGAGGCGUGGGUUUGAAUCCCACUUCUGACA
rnacentral:tRNA from 1 species